AUCUACGGGAGGCAGCAGUGGGGAAUUUUCCGCAAUGGGCGAAAGCCUGACGGAGCAACGCCGCGUGAGGGACGAAGGCCUCUGGGCUGUAAACCUCUUUUCUCAAGGAAGAAGAUAUGACGGUACUUGAGGAAUAAGCCACGGCUAAUUCCGUGCCAGCAGCCGCGGUAAUACGGGAGUGGCAAGCGUUAUCCGGAAUUAUUGGGCGUAAAGCGUCCGCAGGCGGCUUUUCAAGUCUGCUGUUAAAGCGUGGAGCUUAACUCCAUCAUGGCAGUGGAAACUGAAAGGCUUGAGUAUGGUAGGGGCAGAGGGAAUUCCCGGUGUAGCGGUGAAAUGCGUAGAUAUCGGGAAGAACACCAGUGGCGAAGGCGCUCUGCUGGGCCAUUACUGACGCUCAUGGACGAAAGCCAGGGGAGCGAAAGGGAUUAGAUACCCCUGUAGUCCUGGCCGUAAACGAUGAACACUAGGUGUCGGGGGAAUCGACCCCCUCGGUGUCGUAGCUAACGCGUUAAGUGUUCCGCCUGGGGAGUACGCACGCAAGUGUGAAACUCAAAGGAAUUGACGGAAU
rnacentral:rRNA from 1 species